GACGAACGCUGGCGGCGUGCUUAACACAUGCAAGUCGAACGGAAAGGCCCUGCUUUUGUGGGGUGCUCGAGUGGCGAACGGGUGAGUAACACGUGAGUAACCUGCCCUUGACUUUGGGAUAACUUCCGGCAACUGGGGCUAAUACCGGAUAGGAGCUCCUGCUGCAUGGUGGGGGUUGGAAAGUUUCGGCGGUUGGGGAUGGACUCGCGGCUUAUCAGCUUGUUGGUGGGGUAGUGACUUACCAAGGCUUUGACGGGUAGCCGGCCUGAGAGGGUGACCGGCCACAUUGGGACUGAGAUACGGCCCAGACUCCUACGGGAGGCAGCAGUGGGGAAUAUUGCACAAUGGGCGGAAGCCUGAUGCAGCAACGCCGCGUGCGGGAUGACGGCCUUCGGGUUGUAAACCGCUGUCGCCUGUGACGAAGCGUGAGUGACGGUAAUGGGUAAAGAAGCACCGGCUAACUACGUG
rnacentral:rRNA from 1 species